rnacentral:RNase_P_RNA from 1 species
UAAGCAGGAUAAAUGGUCGCGGCUGGCAGUCCGAAAGGCGCCAGGUGAGGAAAGUCCGGGCUUCACAGGGCAAGGAUGCCGGAUAACGUCCGGUGGAGGUGACUCUAAGGAAAGUGCAACAGAAAUGUACCGCUUUGUCUGGCAUAUCCGCAGGAUAUGGCGGCAGAGUAAGGUUGGAAGGGCAGUGUAAGAGACUACCGCCGCCCCGGUAACGGGGUGGGCAUAUGUAAACCCCAUCCGAAGCAAGACCGCAAUGAAGCAUAUGGCGGCCCGUCAGCUUCAGGUAGGUCGCUGGAGCCUGUCGGCGACGACAGGCCUGGAUAGAUGACCAUUCACGACAUAACCCGGCUUACCGUCCUGCUUAUGAA